AGAAAAUUAGUCUAGAUGCCAUUUGUGACAGAAGUAUUCAUUCAACUGAUAGAUAUUAUACUAAAGACACGAGGAUGAAAAUAGUCACAGCUUUGGUUCUGAUCGUACUUACUGCUGAAUGUAUUUCAUUACAAGAAGAAAAGACAAUUUCACCAUCAACAGUAGAACACUCUUUGAAAAAAAUGAUUAACUCUGAUCUAGGUAAACGUGACGGAAACAGACGCCUCCGUACCCCCCAAAAACGUGGCCCCGCAGAACUACCUAAAUCAAAGCAUUAGAAUGGAUGCAAGUCUUGUAGUGCGUACUAUUGACAUAAGGCGAUACGUAUCAUAUUAUUGUAAACAUGUAAAAACAAUUAUUGGUUUCGCCGGAUGUAUUUUCUCUUGAGGAUUUGAAAAAAAAAAAUUUAAA